GAAGAAUAAGAGGAAACUUACAUCGGUCUUUAUUAGUUAGGUAACAUUUUAACGUAUCCCCAUGAGAGGAUUACCCGUGUUAGAAAAAUCCACGCUUCCAUAGGCCUUUGAGCUGGGAGCCUACCAAAUGUCUCAGAUCACAAUGUAACUUCUAUAAAUCUCUGGUGAAUACCUAGUCUUCCUGCACUAAGAAGAACACUAAGAUCACAAUGGGUGGCUGGCCAGUGCUCCACCUCUAAAGCUGGUAAUUGAAGGGGCCAGGAGCCACCUCUCUAAAGGCAGGAUUUGGCACAGGAGUCUGUAGUUGCUGACUUCUAUAAAGUCAUAUGGCAAUAGAUGGACUGAGAUACCACCAGAAUGUUUAGAACUGGACAACAUAUCUGGAGUGCCAAACCAGCAAAUGAUUUUUAUUAAGAAAAGACAACAGCCACAGUGUCUCUAUAUUAAUAAGUCUCAAUGCCAUAGUGAAGGACACAACAGAGGGCUUCUAGCAUAGUGGAAGAGGUUCUCUACCAAUGGUGCGGAGAACCUAUCUUUGUAGAAAGAUAGCCCACCCAACCUUCUAGAACUAAUGGGGUCUUGGGUUUCUGCAUGUCAGUUGCCCUCAUGCUGCUAACCAAUUAACUGCAGACUUAAAAACAACACAUGCUAGUUACAGAAACCACAGCUUGCUAAAGAGUAAGCAGUUAAACCAGUAAGUCUUACAGCUUUUUAAAAAGCAGAAAGGCCCUUCUCUUAACAGCUGAUGUUUGGACUUCAUAAAGUGAAGGGGUAUUAUUUAUACCCCACCCAUCUGGCUGGGUUUCCCCAGCCACUCUGGGCAGCUUACAGUGCAUAUAAAAGCAUAGUAAAACAGCAAACAUUAACAACUUCCCGAUACAGGGCUGCCUUCAGAUGUAUUCUAAAAGUUAUGUAGUUCUUUAUCUCCUUGACAUCUGAUGGGAGGAUGCCACUGCCAAGAUGGCCCUCUGCCUGGUUCCCUGUAACUUCUCAAAGUGUGGGAGCCGCCAGAAGACCCUCAGAGGAGGACUUUGGUGUCCAGACUGAGCAAUGGGGGUGGAGAUGCUCCUGAACCAAGGCUCUUUAUUGGAUUGAUUCAGGGAGAGAUGGCUCCAAAGGCAUGUCAAGUCUCAGGCCCUGAGGAGCUUUAAAGGUAAGUCCCAUGAAUUGGCCCUGGAAGCUAACAGAAUGACGGUGCAGAGGCCACAAGACUAACUGAAUAUGCUAAUGCCUCCCAGAGUCCAUCAGGAGAUGAGCAAGAACAUAUUCCUGCAGCUUCUUGGUGAUCUUAAAUGGAAACACCACAGGCCGCAUUGUAGUAGUCAAGCUAUAAAAGCAUGCAUAAAUGUAGGGGAGUACCUCCAAAAAGCAGAGUCUAUGUAACGGUCACCAUUGGUAAAAGUUUCCUCUGGCUACCACCAAUAUUUCCUUAUCCAGGAGUUGGAUCCAGAACUAUACCUAGAUUACAAAUGUAUUCAAAUCGGGAUAUCUCCACCACAUCCAUCAUGGACACACUAAUCACUUCUGCAGCCUAGGUUUACCCCACCAGCAGUAUCUUGUCUGGAUCCCUUUGGCUUUUUCCCUCUAGUCCACUCCUUCACAACCUCCAGACACUGGUUGCGUCAGCCUGUCAGUCCUGACUAGCUAGUGAUACAGAAUUCCAAGGCUGUCCCUGUGCCUUCAUAGAUGAUGUAGACAUUAAGCGGCAUUAAUGAGAAAAAGUAUUCUGGAACACCCCAUGCCAAAGAGCAUCACAAACAACAACCCUUUGAGGGUGGGAAAACAAAAAAGGAAAAAUGCUGAAAAGCCAGCUCCAAAAAGCUAGCUGUUCUUCCCAUCUGAUCCAAAGUAUCAAAAGCCACUGAGAAGGCUAACAAGAUCAACAGGGUAAUAAAGAGGACUCUUGAGGGUUGCUAAAACUACCACGGAAAAACCCAACAGUAAAGAGUCAAGGAAAUAAGUUUCAUCUAGAAAUGUUUAGCUCAGAAGACAGGAGAUGAGGGAAUGGACUUGAUUGCUUUCAUAAGGGGCAAAAAAAAAUGCCAUAAAGAAGAUGGAGUAAAGUAGUACAAGAAACACACAAAAUAGAUUACUUCUUCAUAGCACACAUACUUGAAAACUACUGAAUUUGCUGCUAGGAAAUGUAAUGACCACUGACUUGCAUGGCUUUAAAACGGGGUGUGCAGAAAUUAAUGGAGGAUAAGUCUCUCCAUGGCUUCUAGCUACAAUGGCUGUGUUACUUCUAGUAGAGGUAGUAUGUCUACUAGAUGCUGUGGAAUACAAGUGGGGAGAGUGCUUUUCUGCUCUCAUGUACUACUUGUGGGCAUCUGUCAGCCAUCCACUUAGCCACUGUGAGAACAGGAUGCUAGGCUAGAUGAGUUUUUGGCCUGAUCCAGCUGGACUCUUACGUUUGUGGGGACCCAUCUAUACCUACAAGUCUUAACAUCUUUGAAAAAUCCCAACAUCACAGUGCAGCUGUAAUCAAUGUACUGGCGAUAACUGCUGAAGUACAUGGGAGAUUGUUUUUGGAAUUUAUAGACUGCUGGAAGUAAUAGAAUGUCAUUCCUGCCCCCCACUUGCUGAUCAUGUAAAGUUUACAUAUUUUCCCUCCUUUCUGAUUAGGUAAAGAUUGUUGCCAUUUUCCAAAAGCGGCAACGGGCAUCAGAAUUGAUAUGGCUGGUGGAAUUCCUGCUGCCUGUGCUUUACACAUGCACCCAUGUGGAAGUCAUCUUUCUGCAAUACAAUUCCACAUGGUGUGUGAAUUUUGCAACCAUGUGGUCAGGGCAGAUUAUGCGGGGCUUUCACCUGCAACCAGCAAACUACCCAAGCUAUCUGACUCACCCUCAUAUUUGCAUAGGUUAAUAAAACUGUAGAGUUGGAAUGUUUCCCAAGGAUCAUCUAGUCCAAUUCCCCUGCGAUGCAGGAAUCUCAGCUUGCAGGUCAAAGCCACAUGACUGCAUCAGAGAACAGUGGAGUGGCUUCCAUGUGGAAUUCAACCAAUGUUAUGGACGCCUCUUAACAUCUAUUAGCACCUGUGAAAGCAGGUGACAACCAAUCUCAUCAUGUUACACUUCAUUUGAUGUCAUGUUACAGUAAAAAAAUACGUCUGAUUCUAGUUCAUCAACAAUGGAGGCUUUGAGCUGCAUAUAUGGGCUACCAGAAAGCAGCUACAGUAGUUUCUAAUUCCACUUCACUAGCACAAUACUUAACUCUUCUCAACAGCAAUAUGUCAAAAUCAAACCUUCUAAGCUUACUUGAUCUCUAGAGGUAGAUGGACACAUUAAAGGCCAGUCUGUCCCAGUACAGUGGUACCGCGGGUUACAGACGCUUCAGGUUACAGACUCCGCUAACCCAGAAAUAGUACCUCGGGUUAAGAACUUUGCUUCAGGAUGAGAACAGAAAUCGUGUGGCGGCGGCACAGCGGCAGUGGGAGGCCCCAUUAGCUAAAGUGCUUCAGGUUAAGAACAGUUUCAGGUUAAAAACGGACCUCUGGAACGAAUUAAGUUCUUAACCCGAGGUACCACUGUACUACAUGGGGAUGGAUCUAAGUCCAUCGUGUCCUGUUCUUUAAAGUGUUUGCACAUUGUUAGCCAUGUUUCUGCUGUAUAAUUCACUCUGAGAGUGAGAGUGGCAAGAAGCCCUGCUAACCACUCCAGGCCGUGGAUGGCUGGAAGACUUCCCUGGGUCUUUAAAAAAAAAAUGGGCACAGAGGAAGUGCUGUAGCACUCAGACCAUCUCAUAAAGGAAUCCACUGUAAAGUGGACUCAUGAUUCUAUCCAAAUCUUGAUUUUCCCAGAUGAGAUCCAGUAACUCCAAUUUGGAAUCUGAAUUCUGUGGAUUCCUCCCUGCUAAGAGCUUUCAACUGCAUGUCUCUAGUUACACACCCACACACCCAACUAAUAAACUCCACGUAGCACUUAGUUGCAAUCUCCUAAUCCACAGGCACCAUUUUAAUGCAAACACCAAAUUUAUCCACUGUUUUUGCAAUAGUAGCUUCCAGCUCAAAGUUUUAUAUACUCGAGAGCUGUUUAGAGCUAAGAGCUACUGCAGUAAUAAUCCUGUCUGUGUACACUGUACACGCUUUGUUUUUUGGAAUCGUAACCAUUGUGGAUUAAACCAAAAGUAGUGGUUUGAAGCCCUACAAAGCCAGUGCAUAUUGCAGAAAGGCAAGUAUUACGUGAAGGAUCUUUUAAAGACAAAUAACAAGGUUGUGUAACAGAAGGUAGAUGUGCUUCCAAGGUAUGGUCUGAGGGAAUAUGAUACAAAACCUUGUCAAACCUUGUCAGACCCAAAGUUGGUUUGGGUCUAGUCAGUACUUUGAUGCAGUGUUUGAAACUCCCAUUGUUCUAGGCACAUUUUGCAACAGGGAAUUUCAUUAGUGCAAAGUUUCUGAGCUCUGGGUGCAGUUCUGCGCCUAAGAUUUCAGAUUAAAACUGCAGAGUGGAAGGAAAGGUGGACCUUUUUCUGCCUCCCUACUUCCAGCUACUCUCUGAAGACUGGAGAAGAGACCCUCUUAAGAAUAUUUGGGGGGUGGGCAGAGGAAGGACUAGACCAUGUGAAAAAUGAAUGUAAUAUUUUAACUGCAGUUCGUUCAUUUUCAGCUUUGUAUUCUUGUUAUAAAAAAAGCUCGCCUAGACAUUCCGUUUUUGCACCCAUAACCUAGGUUUAAGGUGCCAUUUAGCUCUUAGCUUUCAUAUUUCAGUUUCUAACACUGCUUUGAUGGGAGAUCAGACAAGAACCCCAUGUACAUUACACCUUGAACUCUGGGAUGGAAGAAAGGCGGGGGUACAAACAUACGUUAAAAAAAAUUAAUUUAGAAUUAGUCAUGUUACUAACUCUAACAUCAGCACAUCCCAAAUAAGCCAUUAACUCCUACUCCACAGUGGUCUAAUUAGGAAGCCCAUGCCAGCACAAGUGUUCUUGAAAAGUGAAGAAUAGAUCGCUCUAGAUUUCUAUCCUAGGAGAUUUAAUUUACUGCCUUUUUCUAAAAACAAACCAACUCAAGAAUGUGUUAAGCGCACUCUUACUAGUCUGCAAUCUUAAGCAUCUUUACGAUGCAAUAGUUUCCACUGAACUCAGAUGUAUUUGGGUAUGUCUAAGGCUGGUAGCUCCUAACACUACACAACCAUUGCUCUACUAUUGUAAGCUGCAUGUGCAAUUUUGUACGCUUGCAAUUUUCAGAUUUCAGGAGUGCAGCACUCUUUGUCAGUAUACAUUUUCACUAUCUUCCCAUUCUAGUGAGCUUGACAUGGUCUUGUGUGUGGAGACAGCAAAUUAGAAGUGUUUAAUAGCAAAUUAGAAGAUGAGGUGGGAAAGAAACAAUACUAAAAUGCUGCUUAAUGGGAGGGGGGACCCCUGGUUUUUGUUUUUAAAAAUUGUGUUAAAGGGCUUUUUCAUUUUGGUGCUGUGAAAUUAAAUUAUUGUGUAAAAAAAUAAGCAUGCUGAUUAAAUGCUGCCACUGGGAAAGGCAAUGGCAAAUAUAUGUCCAACCAGAUGUGUGGUGAUAGAUUCAGAACCACACUUUUUUAAAAAAAGGUGGAAGAUUAGGUCCAAGGCAAUCUAUGAGUAGCAUUCAACAUAGCACCAAGGUUUACUUUAAGAUUCUUGUCCCACUGAACAAGCAGCCAGUACACUGUUCUCCCCUGAACUUUUUGUAGCUGAAAGAACAUGAAAGAUAGAAGAAGAAAGUAAGAAUUAACAGAGAGAGAGUAAGGAAUAAAAAACAACAGAGAAGGAAGGAAACCUAGGAAAUCUUGGGAAAUGAAAAAGAGAGUGAUGGAGCAAGAAAAAUAGAGGUGAAUAUGAAUGAAUGGAAGAAUAAGGGGACCCCCAAUUAUUUUGAGGAGAUUAUCUCACUUCCUUAAAUAUAGUUGGGUUCUGUGACUCCCUUGCCAUAGAAAGCAAAACUACGAAUCUGAGCCCCCACCCUAAUUUAUAAAGUUUCCCUGUUAUAAAUUGUUAUUAUCCCUGUAAAAUAUGUUGAAGAUUCUGUUUCUGUCUUACCGUUGUGAUAUAAUAAGGGUUAAUGGAGAUCUUCACAAAAUUGUUGCUCAAAACUGAAUGUUUGUUGCCUCUAACACACAUUAUUUACAACACUGUCUGGAAUAAGGUCCAGGAUGCAAAUGAAUUAAUAUCAAAAGUAUCUCUUGGCCUACCUUGCUCAGUCUGCAAAGCCUAGCAAUCUGUUGGGCCUUGCAGAGGGCGGCCUCCUCUCAACCUUGGAGUCUCUCUGAGAUGUUGCUUUCUACAGAACAGAACUUUCCAGAAGUCUGGUCCUGUGAUAUGAGUCGUCUUUUCAACAUUUAGUUCUCCAGGUCAGGAGCAAAGCUCCAGGAAUCUGUUAUAAUUGAGAAAAGCAAACCAGAGGGUUGGAGAAGAAAGGUCAAGGAACCAGCACAAAGAGCUGAAAGGAAAGUUGGGGGCCUGUUGAAAAGGCAAGAACUAAAUGUGCUUCGGAGGCCUAAGUUCUACCGAAGAGCAGAAGCAGGAAGGAGUCACUUCAAAGCCUGAGAAGAACUCAGCUAUGACUGCUGGAGACUGCUUUAGGGCCACAGGUACCUGAACACUAAACUGCACCACUUUGCCUUUGUAAAGAGUUUAUUGCUGGCUAGGACAAGCACAAAGUCUCGGGGUGAAAUUCUAACAUGCACCCCUACCUGUCCGAAUAAAAGUUUGAUCAUUUGAUUUUCUUGUUUGUAUUAGCCCUUAACUCAGAACAUUAUUUUGCACACCACAUAUCUUUCUAGCUCGAUAAAGCCCCAUGGGAACAUUGGGUGAACUGUUGUUCCAAGGACUAGGGACUUGACCCAGUUCUCUGUACAGGCAGCUUGUCGUAUGUUACAACUGAUGGGUCUGGAUGCAAAUGUACAUCCUUCUGAACAUUUUUUUAAAAACACACACAUCUACCCAGUUCAAUGACUUCGUGGACAUCACAAACAAACCCCCACUCCUAAAAUGUUGAACAUGUAAAACAAACAAACCCUGAGGGCAUGCUCACAUAAUUCUGAAAUAGUUUCCAGUACAUGCAGGAAAAGUAUUCUGACAAUCAAAUAUAUAUUUUGCAAAAGUGUCACACUUGUGAGUGGAAACUAGACAGAUGGAAUGGAAAGAUUGAAUAUCUUCUGUGUUCUUGGUGCUACAGCUCUUCACACCUAAGAUUUACCAAGUGUUUAUGCAAAUAAACAACAGUCAGCAGAUAUGUUAAACAUCUUUCAUUUCCUCAUUAUACCUUGUGAUUUGUGCUGCAAGAUUUGCUACACUAGCCAAAUCAGGCUAUAGCUAUGGUCUAUUAGCACAUUAACCUACUGGCAGCAUGGUGUCACAACUUGAUCUAAGGUGUGUAACAACAGCUAUACUACCCCCAAACAAAUAAAUGGU